rnacentral:siRNA from 1 species
UGAAGUUUUGUCAACCGCCUG